GUGGGAAAUAUUGGACAAUGGGCGAAAGCCUGAUCCAGCCAUGCCGCGUGUGUGAAGAAGGUCUUCGGAUUGUAAAGCACUUUAAGUUGGGAGGAAGGGCAGUAAGUUAAUACCUUGCUGUUUUGACGUUACCGACAGAAUAAGCACCGGCUAACUUCGUGCCAGCAGCCGCGGUAAUACGAAGGGUGCAAGCGUUAAUCGGAAUUACUGGGCGUAAAGCGCGCGGAGGUGGUUUUGUAAGUUGGAGGUGAAAUCCCCGGGCUCAACCUGGGGACUGCCUUCAAAACUGCAUGACUAGAGUACGGGAGAGGGUAGUGGAACUUCCUGUGUAGCGGUGAAAUGCGUAGAUAUAGGAAGGAACACCAGUGGCGAAGGCGACUACCUGGACUGAUACUGACACUGAGGUGCGAAAGCGUGGGGAGCAAACAGGAUUAGAUACCCCUGUAGUCC
rnacentral:rRNA from 1 species